GCCACUGCAAUUCGUUAAUCCCUUUGGAAAAUUGCUUAAGCCUGGCAUGUUUUGUAAUGAACUUUAUCUCUUCACUACCAAAAGUCGUAAAAAGGAACUUCAGUGAGGAAAGAAACACAAUUGAUAAUUGAAUAUUUCAAAGAGAUCAGCAUUUUAGAAAACUGGCUUUUUGGAUUGGCUCACAGUUUUCCUACUUUUCUGUCCUGUCAGUUGAGAAGAAUACAUUUCAAGAGAUGCUCUUGGAAAACACGUUUGAUGGAGAGGUUGAUUUUUGUAACCUGUAUGCCGUAGUCAGAAGAGCCGUCCUCUGGCAGAUAUGUGAAAGAACUGCCUAUGAGGAGCGAGAGGCUACUUCGCACACCUCGCAGCUCAGGUCCCCGGAGACGGCUUUACAGGCACACAAGCCCCUCUCCCAAGCCAUCUGCCAGGAGCCCCAUGAGGAACACAGCACAGCGCCUGCAUCAGAAGCCCAUGGGUUUGCCUAUCACAUGUCUUGUUUUCUCCUGAUCCGUGGCUCACAGGCUCAGUGUGACCCAACCUCCUAGAUUUCCCCAUCAGUGCUAUUUGCAGUGCCCCCAAGCACUUUCCUCCACUCCAGUCCCUGAGCGCAUGCCAACGGCCCUAUUUUCAGCCACCCCUCUCCAUGCCUCUUGUCUGUCUCUAGCUGACAAGCAGAUUAUCUCUUCUGUCCACUUUGUUUGCCAAUGUACUUUGGCACCAUUGAAUUCCAACACAUGAAGUAAACUGAACUGUGUACAACGCUGAGCACACACGUGGUUUGGAGAGCAGCCCCUUGUCAGGAUCCAAAAUGUUCCCAAGCCUUGUUGAUAUUUGGGUCACUGCAGAUCUCUGAGUCCCCCUUCCUUUUUAAUCUUCUUCCCCUCAACUCAUUCUCAAUUUCUCUCUCUGAAACCACCUGUGAACACACUUAUGCAUUCAAAUAGAUGCAUACUGUUCAUGCUUAUAUUUUUCUGUAACCGUCAUAUCUAAUAAAUACUUAUCAUCCAGG
rnacentral:lncRNA from 1 species